rnacentral:rRNA from 1 species
AUUGAACGCUGGCGGCAGGCCUAACACAUGCAAGUCGAGCGGAUGAAGGGAGCUUGCUCCUGGAUUCAGCGGCGGACGGGUGAGUAAUGCCUAGGAAUCUGCCUGGUAGUGGGGGAUAACGUCCGGAAACGGGCGCUAAUACCGCAUACGUCCUGAGGGAGAAAGUGGGGGAUCUUCGGACCUCACGCUAUCAGAUGAGCCUAGGUCGGAUUAGCUAGUUGGUGGGGUAAAGGCCUACCAAGGCGACGAUCCGUAACUGGUCUGAGAGGAUGAUCAGUCACACUGGAACUGAGACACGCUCCAGACUCCUACGGGAGGCAGCAGUGGGGAAUAUUGGACAAAGGGCGAAAGCCUGAUCCAGCCAUGCCGCGUGUGUGAAGAAGGUCUUCGGAUUGUAAAGCACUUUAAGUUGGGAGGAAGGGCAGUAAGUUAAUACCUUGCUGUUUUGACGUUACCAACAGAAUAAGCACCGGCUAACUUCGUG